rnacentral:lncRNA from 1 species
AAAAGCAGAGGGGCUGAAAAUGGAGCGGCAGGGGGUUUUGGCAGUCGUGGAUUUUGGGAUAUUAUUAGCACCCUCCCACCCCAAGCACCACCAGAUAAGCGACUGUCUACAAUCGCCCCCGAAUCAACGCUCCCAACGCUCCCAAGAAAGGGGCUAUGACUGUAACAGACAAGCUUCAUUUCCCGACGUUGGUACCAGGACCGCGAGAAGCGCAGGAGUCAGGAAGCUGAGACCAUCGUCUCCACCUGUUCUCAGCUCCUGUGCUCUCUCCACCUGCCUUUUUGGACCCGUAUAGAUUUUUUUCUAUUCCAUUUGGAAAUCGCACAUUACUGCUAUCUACACAUUGUCACCAAAACCAAUUUGUGCAAACUAACAGGCUUAUCAGCGCUGCUGAAAUGAGAUUAAAACUGCUUCCAGUGAAACAGAUAAAAACCAGAUGAAUGAAGCCCACUAAUAAGACAUUAAAGAUAAUGACAAGAAUGAUUAACUAGCAUGAUAUAUCGAGCAGUUAUGAGGCGUCGGAUGCCCAGGAUCCGUAAACUAAUAAAAAAGAAUCUACCUUUAAUUCCCUUUCA